rnacentral:rRNA from 1 species
UACAGAGGUCCCAAGCGUUGUUCGGAUUCACUGGGCGUAAAGGGUGCGUAGGUGGCAAGGUAAGUUUGAUGUGAAAUCUCCGGGCUUAACCCGGAAAAUGCAUUGAAUACUCUCUUGCUAGAGGAUUGGAGGGGGGACUGGAAUUCUCGGUGUAGCAGUGAAAUGCGUAGAUAUCGAGAGGAACACCAGUGGCGAAGGCGAGUCCCUGGACAACACCUGACACUGAGGCACGAAAGCUAGGGGAGCAAACAGG